rnacentral:rRNA from 1 species
CGUUACGUACCUAACCCGACGAAGGGGGGACGACGUCCCACGGAGUGGUCCAUGACUGGGGUG